UUUUUUAAUUAGAAACUUGUAUGAAAGGUUGGAUGAGAUAUAUUCUGUUUCAGAAAAAAAAAUAAAAUUUUAUUUUUUAGUAAAAAAGCUAAAAUAUUGUUAAAAGACGAGAAGACCCUAUAAAGUUUUACAUUAUAUUAAUUAAUAAUAAAGAUUAAGUAAAAUAUUAGUUUUAAUUAAAAUAUGUUUUAUUGGGGUGAUAGUAAAAUUUAAUUAACUUUUAUUAAAUUUUAACAUUUAUUUAUGAAUUUUUGAUUAUAUAUGUAUAUUAUGUAUAUUAAAAAAGAGAAUUACUUUAGGGAUAACAGCAUAAUUUUUUUUUAGAGAUCAUAUUAAAAAAAAAGAUUAU
rnacentral:rRNA from 1 species